rnacentral:tRNA from 1 species
UCGUAUUUGCUUGAUUUCGCGCAAGUUGAUGAUCGCGGUAUAUAUAAGAUGGUUGACCCGGAGGUUUUCAAUGACAUUGGAUUGCGGUUGGCUUGUGUCUGAUGGUACGGU